rnacentral:lncRNA from 1 species
AGGCCUCUCUACCCUCAAGGGUACCGGCCUUAAAAUGGAUUCCUAUGGAGUCCUAGUAGUAACUGGCCACCAGCCUGGUGUAACCCCAUUUACUAUAACCCCUUGAGCCUGACCAGUUGUUCAUCCAUUAGCUCAUGUAGCUCAUCAGCUACAUUGGCUCAUGUAGCUCAUCAGCUCAUCUAGCUGUUUGCUGGACAUUUUGCCCAGAAGCGUACUGUGAUAAAAAGUGUCCAGAGUUUUGCUAAAACCCAGAAAGAUUGCAACAACUGAUUUCCCUUAGUCCAGUAAGUGGAUAACCUUGUCAUAAAAGGAAAAAUUUAGUUAAACAGUACUUUCCCCUCAUAAAGCCGUGUUGGCUAUGACCAGUGACUACACUGCCUUUCAAGUGUUUUUUAGUACCCCACAGAAAUAGUCUUCUCUUUAAUUUUAUCAGGCACUGAAGUGUGACUGAUUGGCCUGUUACUUCUAGGGUCUUCUUUCUUCCCCUCCUUGAAAACUGGGAUGUUUGACAGCUUCCAGUCAGCAGGAAACUCUUCAGUUUCCCAGUACCAUUGAAAAAUAAUUGAGAGAGGUCUUGUGAUGACAUGAGCCAGUUCCUUCAGCACCUUGGGAUGAAUCCCAUUGGGGCCCAUAGACUUAUUACAUCUUACACUUACCCUGUCAUUUGCCAGUAGAGGACAAAAAGUGCUUUUUUUUUUUUUUUUUUCCAGGUUAUAAGUAUCAUUCAGACACCAGUCUUCUGAGAUGGGAAAGACCAGUGAUGAAAAGACCAGUGAUGUUUCUCCAGUCCUUUCUGAAGAUAUUAACUCAGUUCCUGUCUUGCAAGAGUUUGGGCAUCACAGAGCACAAUAGGUGAAGGCAUGAAGAUCAACACUGAGAAAACAUGCACGUGCACAUAGGAUAAUGUCAGUGUCCCAGUUGUGCACUUGCAUGGCUAGGUAAAACAGAGCAAAACAAAACAAGAAAACAACCCUAAGGUAAAGUUCUCAUUAAGCAUUGUUUGGGCUGUCUAGAAGCAGGAGAUCUUCUCUACCACCUACUGGAAUUUGUUGGAUGAUUUGGUGUUGUUAUAGGAAGUAUUUGUCAGUUACUUUUUUUUGAGACAAUAAACACUGUUAGAGGCUGAAUAAAUUCUGUAGC